CCGGCGCGGAGAACCAACCAGCCUUUUGACGCUGUCGCCCGCCGAUAGAGCACUAGACGCGCUAGCCCCCGGAUCUCCUCCGCGGCCUCGCCGCACGCGUGGGGAUGGAUUUCGACGGCGCCAUUGGCGAUCAGGGUGAGUUGUGGGAAUGGCAAAGUCAGGAGUAUUGUAUGCAGAAAGAUUCGUUAGCUGCUCCAUGUAGCAGUUUGUGGGCCGAAGCAAGCAACAAUGUGGGUGGUGAUUGGAGCAUAUUUGAGGAGCAAACACCAAUUAAACACUGUACAGACUUCGAAUUUCAGUUCUGUGAUGUAGGAGGUGAAGUCUUGUUCUCAUGGUAAUGAAAUCUACAGACAUGAGCUUAAAUCUAGAUUCUAAACUAUUCCAGUUCACACCAAGCUAUCUACUUAAAUUGGUUUUUCACUGCCAAUAUCCUGUACAGAGACCAGUAGCACCUUCUUUUAGAUGCUAAUAUAUGUUAUCUAUUUCUCUCUGCUUCUUGAAAUUGCAUUAAUGACAUGGUAACUUGUGAUAUGUAAAUCCAAAACAUAUAUAAAGCAGAAUGACUAGUAUAAUAACAAAAUCAGUCGAUUAUUGCAAUUAGAACAAGUACGUUUCGAGGCUACUAUUUCCCUAUUGUGUAUGUCUGAUCUGAGCUAUAAAAUGCAACAGGUAGAUGAUUUGACCUAAAUAUCACAAUGGAUUAAACUGGAUAUUUCCUAACUCUAUCCCAUCUGACCUUUUUGGCAAACACUUAAUAAGGUGCUAAUACAUAUCAGUUGCAUUUCCGGACUAGUAAAAAUGCAAUCUAGAUAUCAUCGUCAAGGAGUUUGAAGAAAGGAAGGAAACUUUACAGGCAAAACGCACACGCAUGCUGCAGUUCUGUCCAGAAAAUCUUGAGAUGACAUGUUCAGUGACUGAAGAUGGGCUCUUGGAAAGUCUUCAGGAGAUGAUUUUUCAGGUACUGACUGUUUACUGAACUCUGACGGGACUGAUGAACUGCCAGAAGAAUGGCUAGUUAGUUGAUCACAAGAUAUCGAGCCCGGUUUUCCGGCAGAAGAAAUUAGGAAUAACCCUGCUGCUGCAACGGAAGAAACUGCCGAUGUCUUGGCUUGAGCUCUUCGCCUGUCGUAGUCCACGACAAUCCUGCAUGCUCUAGACCUACUUCUCUGAAAGGUGCAGCUGGCAAAAUUUAUUAUCGGAGCAAAGAAGGCGAGACCAUCCGUGUCCCUCCCUUUUGUGCUGAUCAAACCAUACAGCAUCCAUGGCGACAUCACCCUGAACGACAUCAACGAGAAGAUCCACGCCCCUUCGCCGCAUAAGAUCAGGCACAGGAGCGACGAGGAGCCCGACCCGCUCCAGGCCUCAGCAGCGAUCUCAGGGAAACCUGUGGCCCACAAGACGAAGAUCCACACGGAGGGGGGGAAGGGGGAAGGGGAGCAUCACGAUCACCAGAACCAAAGGCUAGGCUGAUGACCAUUUGUGUGACGCUGGCGAAGUGGCUAACAGUUGAUUCGCCUUUGCAUUUUUGGCGCUCUGGGCUCGUUCCCAAUUGGUUUUGUGGCCCAGGUGAUGCAUGGCCUUAGCAGCGUGCUUGUAGCGUUUUCUGUUCUUGCUGUUUACUAGUAUCUUACGCACGCGCCUUAGCGCACGUCAUAGGCAGCGCUGAAUCGUGUCAAUGAGUUAAUAUAAAAAUUUAAUAAAAUAAUCCAAAGAAAA